ACGAAGGGGGCUAGCGUUGCUCGGAAUCACUGGGCGUAAAGGGCGCGUAGGCGGCGUUUUAAGUCGGGGGUGAAAGCCUGGGGCUCAACCACAGAAGGGCCUUCGAUACUGGGUCGCUUGAGUAUGGUAGAGGUUGGAGGAACUGCGAGUGUAGAGGUGAAAUUCGUAGAUAUUCGCAGGAACACCGGUGGCGAAGGCGGCUAACUGGCCCGUUACUGACGCUGAGGCGCGAAAGCGUGGGGAGCAAACAG
rnacentral:rRNA from 1 species